rnacentral:rRNA from 1 species
UACGAAGGGGGCUAGCGUUGUUCGGAAUUACUGGGCGUAAAGCGCGCGCAGGCGGUUCGAUAAGUUGGGGGUGAAAUCCCUGGGCUCAACCCAGGAAUGGCCUUCAAGACUGUCGAUCUUGAGGACGAGAGAGGUGAGUGGAAUUCCCAGUGUAGAGGUGAAAAUUCGUAGAUAUUGGGAAGAACACCGGUGGCGAAGGCGGCGACCUGGUCCUUGACUGACGCUGAGGCGCGAAAGCGUGGGGGAGCAAACAGG